rnacentral:rRNA from 1 species
AUACGUAGGGAGCGAGCGUUGUCCGGAAUUACUGGGCGUAAAGGGCGCGUAGGCGGCGCUUCAAGUCGUCUGUCAAAUGGGAGGGCUUAACCCUUUUUCGCAGACGAAACUGGAGAGCUUGAGAAGCAGAGAGGCAAACAGAAUUCCUGGUGUAGCGGUGAAAUGCGUAGAUAUCAGGAAGAAUACCAGUGGCGAAGGCGGUUUGCUGGCUGCAUACUGACGCUGAAGCGCGAAAGCCAGGGGAGCAAACGGGAUUAGAUACCCCGGUAGUCCUGGCAGUAAACGAUGUAUGCUGGGUGUGAGACUAGCGGUAGUUUCGUGCCGAAGUUAACGCGAUAAGCAUACCGCCUGGGGAGUACGGUCGCAAGAUUGAAACUCAAAUGAAUGGACGGGG